rnacentral:lncRNA from 7 species
AAAAAGAAUAAUCCUCGCAGGUUUUCAGCAUAAUGGUUGACAAAAACAGUGGAGCGCAAAUAGCAUAUGAGUUAACGUUAUCAACUAUCCACUACGUUACAAAUAUGCAAACCAAAGGAUACCUUAGCGGCAAUAAAGUACAUAGUGCGCCAAUCACUCAACCAACAAACAACGAUAGUUUGGUAGAACACCACAUCAAAAGCAAACAAAGUGCGAGCAACACUCUGUACGAAGGAAUUCUUUGAUUAGAGGAAUCUAAGAAGUAAACUGCAUCAACUUCCAUUUAUGUUUCUGCAAAAUGUUAUUUUUGUUUUGUUUCUACAUAAUGUUAUUUAUCGCAGUAGGCAACUGUGUUGGCAAAUUCAGCACUAAGUUAUUAUGAACCAACUAUUUAUUUAAUCGGAACUGAUAGAUGUCGAAGGUAAUGUGGUGGCAAGUAUGGCACUCUGUUGCAUUCAGGAAACCCAUACUGACAACAGGACGACGGCGUACAUGUCUUAGCAGUUCAUCCGUUGAUUUGUUCAAAUGAAACAUAUGAGUUAGGACACCAGCCAAUUCAAACAUUCUUAAUGAUCUCUGCCUGACCAUGGAUGUAUAUAAUCAUAUACACUUUGGUGUAAUAUUUAUUUUGUUUAUAGAGACUCGCAUUCUUGAAUCUAGCAAUUUGACAAGCUUAGAUAAUUAAAUACUAUUAUCAGACCUGUGGAUACUUGUCUCCUUGUCAUCUUUGCAUGAAGCACAACUUAAACGACAUAAACUGAGCAGUGUCGUGCCUAACUGUAUUUAGAAUUCUAAAUUUACAUAGAUAUAUGUGAUGUCUAUAUUCUGGACUAAUACCAAAUUCAAUAGAUGGGCUGAAACUACAUAUGGGAUGCUUAAGCACAUCGGAAAUAUGGGAUGCUUAAGCUCAAUACAGUUGAUAUAUGGAUGCUUAAGCACAUUAGAAAUCUACAUUGUCUGACUUAGUGUAGUCUGUACACAAUGAAAAAUUCAAGUGGUUAACCAUCAAAUAACCAGAGAGUGUGGUCAUGCACUAAAUUCAAGCUCUUAACCAUUAAGCAACAAAUAGAAAGUGAAUGUAGAGGAUAAAUAGAAUAACAAGGAAAAUAAUGUUCAUGACAAAUAAAGGCAAUCUGAAAUUCAAGGAUGGGUUACCUGAUAUACCUUGGUAUUUUUCUUAUCAUUCAGAAUUGGACUGUCUUCGUUCUUCAAUGGAACAUAGGAGCUGCUCCGGCGUCCAUUUCCUGUACUAUAUGUAGAACUUCAUAGGUUGGGUAACAGAUAACCGUGGUAAUAGAUAAAUUUCACCGAACCUCCUUCAACUAUUUGUUCCUAUAUGAGCCUUACAAAUUCCCAGAUUACUCUGUGAUGAACUUAAUCUUAGGCCUCGGGAUAGCCUAGAUAACUCUGUUUCUCCCCAAAAAAGUAUAGUUCCAAGAAAUUGAUGUGCCACAUAGUGACAACUAAGGAAGUGCUACAUGACCACACCUAAUCUAAAAAAAUGCAGGUAGUCUAUCCAUAUAUGCAUGUAUCUAAAUGUCUGUAUCCAGUGAAACAGGAAACAACUAUCU